GAUGCACUAUCCUUUGCCAUAUGGAGAUCUUCAUUAUUGUCAUUGCCCUUUGAGCUCACUUCCUCUUCAUCAUCUUUUUGCACCACUAUCUUAUUGAUGUCACUCUUCUCUACUAUUGUCCUUUUUCCUGAGGGCUUGAUUGUUGUUCAUUCUGCUUCCCUUUGUCAUUUAUCAUUGGAAGUGCAGCUGCAUCAUCACUUGCUUUAUCUUCUAGCAUUGGAACUGCCACCUCCGCAUCAUCUUUUUCUGUAAUCUCUUCUUCUUCAAAGAACACCGUAAUAUCUGCAUCAACAAUUUCCUUAAUCCCUUCUUCGUCAGCCUUAUUUACAACAUCUGCAUCGUCAGCAUUGCCUAAGACAUCAAAGUUCUGGGUGUAAAGCUCUGCACUCUUUCUCAUCAUGACCCUAUAAUUUGCAGUGAUUGCAAUACUUAG